GGAGCGGGCUGCGGUUGGCGGAGCCGGUCGGCUUCUUUUCUCACCUCUCCUCCUCCCUGUCCGCUCUCCGCCCCGCGGGCCCCGCCCCGCGGCGAGCGGGACUCGUGCAAAGCUGCCAAAUGCUUCACACUUGUACGUCCAUCCCCACGGCUAUGUCGUGCAGCUCAACUGUCCCUCCCGUGGCCACACCUCGACACCAGGGAUCUUAGGAGCCCCGCAGUCCGCCUCAUCCCGUAACCAGGCAUGGCUAAGACGUCCCCUUCACAACGAGUAGGGAAGAAAAUAAUACUACGCUUAGGUCUAACUCUCACAAAUGCAACAGCCUUCUUUUAUUCUCCCCCAUCACCACAGUACAGCCAAGAGAACGAAUCCAUUGCUAGCCUGAAGUUUGUGAGUUGUCAGUGAAAGCAAAGCAGAAGGCAAGAGCGGUGGGGCAACAGGUGGGGUUGGUGUGGUGCCUGCGUGUUUCGUCCUCACUCCCUGCAGCCUGAGUGCUCGGGGAUUUCAGUAGUGGCCUCACCUUCAGAGCCGCUGAGCAGGAAGAAAGGUGGUUUUCUGGGAGGCAAGGUGAUGUUUCUUGCAGCUGGCUGUUAAUUCAAUUACUCACACAGCAAUAAAGUUAUUGUUACGUUGAAUGCUUUAAA